rnacentral:tRNA from 1 species
UCCCUUGUAGCUCAGUCAGUAAAGAAUCUGCCUGCAGUGCAGAAGACCCGGGUUUGAACCCUGGGUUGGGAA